AGAGUUUGAUCCUGGCUCAGAAUGAACGCUGGCGGCGUGCUUAACACAUGCAAGUCGAACGAGAAAGGGAUUGCUUGCAAUCCUGAGUAGAGUGGCGCACGGGUGAGUAACACGUAGAUAAUCUACCUUUGAGUUCGGGAUAACACUUCGAAAGGGGUGCUAAUACCGGAUGACAUCAAUUAAUUUUCGGAUUGAUUGAUCAAAGAUGGCCUCUGCAUGCAAGCUAUUGCUUGGAGAUGAGUCCGCGUACCAUUAGCUUGUUGGCGGGGUAAUGGCCCACCAAGGCGACGAUGGUUAGCUGGUCUGAGAGGAUGAUCAGCCACACUGGCACUGACACACGGGCCAGACUCCUACGGGAGGCAGCAGUGAGGAAUUUUGCGCAAUGGGGGAAACCCUGACGCAGCAACGCCGCGUGAGUGAUGAAGGCCUUCAGGUCGUAAAGCUCUGUCAAGUGGGAAGAACCCUUGCAGUCGGAUAAUGGCUGUGAGCUGACGGUACCACUGAAGGAAGCACCGGCUAACUCCGUGCCAGCAGCCGCGGUAAUACGGAGGGUGCAAGCGUUAUUCGGAAUUACUGGGCGUAAAGGGCGCGCAGGCGGCCAUGUAAGUCAGUUGUGAAAGCCCGGGGCUCAACCCCGGAAGUGCAGCUGAAACUGUGUGGCUUGAGUAUGGUAGAGGGAAGUGGAAUUCCAGGUGUAGCGGUGAAAUGCGUAGAUAUCUGGA
rnacentral:rRNA from 1 species